CCUACGGGAGGCAGCAGUGAGGAAUAUUGGUCAAUGGCCGUAAGGCUGAACCAGCCAAGUAGCGUGAGGGAAGACUGCCCUAUGGGUUGUAAACCUCUUUUAUGCGGGGAUAAAGGUGUCCACGUGUGGAUGUUUGCAGGUACCGCAUGAAUAAGGACCGGCUAAUUCCGUGCCAGCAGCCGCGGUAAUACGGAAGGUCCGGGCGUGAUCCGGAUUUGUUGGGUUUAACGGGCGCGUAGGCCGGUCUUUCAGCGUGCCGUGAAAUUUUGUGGUGCAACCAUGAGAGUGCGGGGCGAACUGGAGACCGUGAGUGCGCGGAAGGCAGGCGGAAUUCGUGGUGUAGCGGUGAAAUGCUUAGAUAUCACGAAGAACCCCGAUUGCGAAGGCAGCCUGCCGCAGCGUUACUGACGCUGAAGCUCGAAAGCGCGGGUAUCGAACAGGAUUAGAUACCCCUGUAGUC
rnacentral:rRNA from 1 species